GACGAACGCUGGCGGCGUGCUUAACACAUGCAAGUCGAACGAAGAGGCGAGGGCUUUCACUCGUGGAUCAGUGCCGCACGGGUGAGUGACACAUGUGUAACCUCCCCCUCACUCUCGGGUAAGCCCUGGAGAAGCUGGCUAUUACUGGGUACGAUCUACCGUACCAUAGGGUGCUAUAGUGAAGAUCUGUCGGUGUUGGAUGGACUCACGGACUAUCAGCUCGUUGGCGGGGUAAUGGGCUGCCAAGGCGCCGACGGGUAGCCGGCCAGCGAGGGUGACCGGCCACACUGGGACUGAGACACGGCGCAGACUCCUACGGGAGGCAGCAGUGGAGAAUAUUGCAGAAUGGGGGAAAGCCUGAGGCAGCGACGCCGCGUGAGGGAUGACGGCCUUCGGGUGGUAAACCUCUUUCAGCAGAGAAGAAGCGAAAGUGACGGUACCUGCAGAAGAAGCAACGGCUAACUACGUG
rnacentral:rRNA from 1 species